AAUCUGUGAUUUAGGCAUAUUCUCAACAUUACUUUAAAUCUCUCCCAAGCUUCACAAAAAGGUUCAUCUGGUCUUUGUCUAAACAUAGAGAUGUUAGACUUUGUUU
rfam:Phaseolus vulgaris cultivar G19833 chromosome 11, whole genome shotgun sequence.